AUCAGUGAAACUGAUCUCCCCGUGAAGAAGCGGGGAUAUACAUAUAAGACGAGAAGACCCCAUGGAGCUUUAAACCUGACAGCACCCGCUCAUUCUAUACCCCAUUAUUUGCCCGACCCCUGUCUGCUCAGUUUUAGGUUGGGGUGACCACGGAGUAUAAAAUAACCUCCAUGAAGAAGGGGAUAUUUCCCUUAUUAGAGAACCACACUUCCAAGAACUAAUAAAUUAAUUUUCAAUGACCCGAUACCCGAUAAUCGAUCAACGAACCAAGUUACCCUGGGGAUAACAGCGCAAUCCACCCUGAAAGCCCUUAUUAACAGGUGGGUUUACGACCUCGAUGUUGGAUCAGGGUAUCCCAGUGGUGCAGCAGCUACUGAGGGUUCGUUUGUUCAACGAUUAAAACCCU
rnacentral:rRNA from 1 species